AUGGAAAUACACUGUAAGCACGACCCGUUUGCAUCCAUGCAUGACAUGGAGGAGUGAAUCAGCUUGGGGGGGUUUUUGUGAAUGGACGGCCACUCCCGGAUGUAGUCCGCCAGAGGAUAGUGGAACUUGCUCAUCAAGGUGUCAGGCCCUGCGACAUCUCCAGGCAGCUUCGGGUCAGCCAUGGUUGUGUCAGCAAAAUUCUUGGCAUGUCCACUGGCUCCGUGACGCAGGUGUCCUCGGUGAGCACGGAUUCGGCCGGCUCGUCGUACUCCAUCAGCGGCAUCCUGGGCAUCACGUCCCCCAGCGCCGACACCAACAAGC
rnacentral:lncRNA from 1 species